CGGGGUGUGGCGCAGUUGGUAGCGCGCCUGCUUUGGGAGCAGGAAGUCGCCGGUUCGAGUCCGGUCACCCCGACCC
rnacentral:tRNA from 4 species